CCUACGGGAGGCAGCAGUAAGGAAUAUUGGUCAAUGGACGCAAGUCUGAACCAGCCAUGCCGCGUGAAGGAUUAAGGUCCUCUGGAUUGUAAGCUUCUUUUAUCUGGGACGAAAAAGGCGAUUCUUCGUCACUUGACGGUACCAGAUGAAUAAGCACCGGCUAACUCCGUGCCAGCAGCCGCGGUAAUACGGAGGUGCAAGCGUUAUCCGGAUUCACUGGGUUUAAAGGGUGCGUAGGCGGGCAGGUAAGUCAGUGGUGAAAUCCUAGAGCUUAACUCUAGAACUGCCAUUGAUACUAUCUGUCUUGAAUAUUGUGGAGGUAAGCCGGAAUAUGUCC
rnacentral:rRNA from 1 species